UACGUAGGGGGCAAGCGUUGUCCGGAUUUAUUGGGCGUAAAGCGCGUGUAGGCGGCUGGUCAAGCGUGGUGUGAAAUCUCCGGGCUCAACCCGGAAACUGCAUUGCGAACUGACCUAGCUGGAGUGCAGGAGAGGGCAGCGGAAUUCCCGGUGUAGCGGUGAAAUGCGUAGAUAUCGGGAAGAACACCAGUGGCGAAGGCGGCUGCCUGGCCUGUAACUGACGCUGAGACGCGAAAGCGUGGGGAGCGAACCGG
rnacentral:rRNA from 1 species